ACACCCUCAAGCCAUGCUUGGUGUUGGGCGUCUGUCCCGCCUCGGCGCGCGGACUCGCCUCAAAGUCAUUGGCAGCGGCCCCGCCGGCUCCUCGCGCAGCACAUUUUGCGCUUCUCGGAGCCCAGGCGGAUCCGCGCUCCAGCAAGACCCCCUCGCG
rnacentral:misc_RNA from 1 species